AUUGAACGCUAGCGGCAGGCCUAACACAUGCAAGUCGAGCGAGCGGCGGACGGGUGAGUAAUGUAUGGGGACUGCCCGAUAGCGGGGGAUCACUACUGGAAACGGUAGCUAAUACCGCAUACUAUCGGAUAACCCAUAUGGGAUUGGCUAGUAGGUGAGGUGAUGUCUCACCUAGGCGACGCUCCCUAGCUGGUCUGACAGGAUUAUCAGCCACACGGGGACUGUGACACGGCCCAGACUCCUACGUAGGCAGAAGUGGGGAAUAGUGCACAAUGGGCGCAAGCAUGAUGCAGCCAGGCCGCGUGUAUGAAGAAGGCCCUAGGGUUGUAAAGUACUUUCAGUCGGGAGGCGUUACCGACAGAAGAAGCACCGGCUAACUCCGUGCCAGCAGCCGCGGUAAUAC
rnacentral:rRNA from 1 species